rnacentral:rRNA from 1 species
CGUGCAGGCGGUCUGUUAAGUCUAGGGUGAAAGCUCCCGGCUCAACUGGGAGAGGUCCUUGGAUACUGGCGGACUUGAGGGAGGUAGAGGAAAGUGGAAUUCCCGGUGUAGUGGUGAUAUGCGUAGAUAUCGGGAGGAACACCAGUGGCGAAGGCGGCUUUCUGGGCCUUACCUGACGCUGAGACGCGAAAGCGUGGGGAGCGAACC